GGGCUCCGCAACGGGAGAGGCCAUAACAGUGAGAGGCCUGCGUACCGCAAAAAAAAAAAAAAAAAAAAAAAAAAAAAAUAGUGAAAUUUCAAAGUAGGCAAACAGUAUCACCCUCACUUGUCUUUCCUAGCUUUUGAACUUCUUUACUUUUUUGAAAUCUGGAGGCAAUUGAUAAUUGUAGAAUUCCUCAAACAUAAUAGAAUAUGUUUAAAAGUACCUUUAAAUUUUGUUUAAUGUAUUUUUAUGGAUUAGAAAUGAUAGUAAUGUAAAUGAGUGGCUUAUGUACUUUGAAAUAAAAGUGUUAACAGUAAAUUAGACAUCUGAACAAAUAAAAUUCAAUAAAUUAAAGUUCAAUAAAUUAAAUAAGCAACAACUUUUAAAAUAGCUCAAAUUCAAUUCAAGAAACAUUUAUUAAACCUUUACCAUGCAUGAGGUACUAGGCAAGGUAUUUGUGAUAUAGGCAGGUUUUAUUUUCCAUCAUGGAGCUUAUGGUCUAAAAGGGAAUGCAUACAUUAAGCCGGUAAAUAUAUUUAAGUUUAGUGACUGUUACAAAAGGAAAUACAUGGAACUGUGGAAACUGACAGCAAGGAGUUGGAGACUGCAACAGGCAGGGGAGUUUCAGAUGGAGGAAGGAACACAUGAAAAAGGAUAGGGGCUUAUCUUCUGAGCAUGUUGAGUAUGAGGUAGCUGAGAUAUCCAGGUGGAGAUUGUUUGGAUGGCAGUUGGUGAGGUGGGGAGUGGAUUAUAGACUAGAAAUUGAGACUUGGAAAUCAUCGAGGUUUUGAUUAUCAUUUCAGUUAUGAGAUGGAAGAGGUUAGUCACUUAGGGAGGAAGUAUAGAAGCUGAUGAACUCCCAAAUUUAAAAGGCAAGUAGAGCUACAGGAGCUUAUCACAGUGAUUGGGAAAGGAGCAGCCAGCGACCAAAGCAAGAGAGUAUUUCGUCGGGGGUGAAUAAUAUUACAUGCUGUAAGAGGUAAAAGAGAG